CACCGCUUCGGUGGUGAGUGGCGAACGGGUGAGUAAUACAUAAGUAACCUGGCCUUUCGAGGGGGAUAACUAUUGGAAACGAUAGCUAAGACCGCAUAGGCAUAAUUCUCGCAUGAGAGUUAUGUUAAAUAUCCUAUGGGAUAGCGAGAGGAUGGACUUAUGGCGCAUUAGCUAGUUGGUGAGGGUAACGGCCCACCAAGGCGACGAUGCGUAGCCGACCUGAGAGGGUGGACGGCCACACUGGGACUGAGACACGGCCCAGACUCCUACGGGAGGCAGCAGUAGGGAAUUUUCGGCAAUGGGCGAAAGCCUGACCGAGCAACGCCGCGUGAGGGAGGAAGUAUUUCGGUAUGUAAACCACUGUUAUAAAGGAAGAACGGCGCAUGUAGGGAAUGACAUGCGAGUGACGGUACUUUAUGAGAAAGCCACGGCUAACUACGUGCCAGCAGCCGCGGUAAUACGUAGGUGGCGAGCGUUAUCCGGAAUCAUUGGGCGUAAGGAGGGAGCAGGCGGCAACUAGGGUCUGCGGUAAAAGACCGAAGCUAAACUUCGGUAAGCCGUGGAAACCGAGGAGCUAGAGUGCAGUAGAGGAUCGUGGAAUUCCAUGUGUAGCGGUGAAAUGCGUAGAUAUAUGGAGGAACACCAGUGGCGAAGGCGACGAUCUGGGCUGCAACUGACGCUCAGUCCCGAAAGCGUGGGGAGCAAAUA
rnacentral:rRNA from 1 species